GCCCAGGUGUUGAAACUGGUAGACAAGCCACUUUGAGGUGGUGGUGCCCGUAAAGGGCGUGCAAGUUCGAAUCUUGUCCUGGGCA
rnacentral:tRNA from 1 species